rnacentral:rRNA from 1 species
AUGAACGCUGGCGGCGUGCCUAAUACUUGCAAGUCGAGCGAACAGACGAGGAGCUUGCUCCUCUGACGUUAGCGGCGGACGGGUGAGUAACACGUGGAUAACCUACCUAUAAGACUGGGAUAACUUCGGGAAACCGGAGCUAAUACCGGAUAAUAUAUUGAACCGCAUGGUUCAAUAGUGAAAGACGGUUUUGCUGUCACUUAUAGAUGGAUCCGCGCCGCAUUAGCUAGUUGGUAAGGUAACGGCUUACCAAGGCAACGAUGCGUAGCCGACCUGAGAGGGUGAUCGGCCACACUGGAACUGAGACACGGUCCAGACUCCUACGGGAGGCAGCAGUAGGGAAUCUUCCGCAAUGGGCGAAAGCCUGACGGAGCAACGCCGCGUGAGUGAUGAAGGUCUUCGGAUCGUAAAACUCUGUUAUUAGGGAAGAACAAAUGUGUAAGUAACUAUGCACGUCUUGACGGUACCUAAUCAGAAAGCCACGGCUAACUACGUG